ensembl:lncRNA
CUGGCUCCAUUGCAAACUGAGUAAACAGCUGACGGGCAGGCCAUCGUCGCUGCUGGAGACAGCGAGACAAACACAUGAGGGUCAAAUCUUGAGCGUUUCAGCAGUCACUCAUCAAAAUACCAUUUGACUUGAGCAGGAAGCUGGACUAAAUGUGAACGAUGGUGUUUGGCACAUGGUGGGUGUCCAGAUGGCCUAGUGUUAGGCACUGCCUUCUGAGGGUGGAUCCCACCCAAGUUAUUAUCAAGGAUUCUUGCAACAGCCACAGGAGAGAUUGACAAGUCAGAUUGCCUUCAUUAAGAGCCAAAUUUGGGUCUGCUAAAUCACCCUCUAAAUUUCAAGCAGAUGAAAGACGCUGGAGGAGGAGGAAGAUGGCAAGAAGCGUCGUUCACUGGAAUGCAUGUACUGGAACGCACGCUCACGUCUUCUGCUGGAGGGACCUCUGCCAAGGGAGAACAUCACUUCUGAGGAACUGCUGGUUCAAAUUGCCACUUAAUCUCUUCAAAUUGGCUUUCGUGUACACCCGUGGCACACGGACCUCAGCAGUCUGGUAAGUCUGAAAGUCUGCAUUGUUCUGUUGUCAGGUUCAGAGAAAGACGAAACAAAAAUGCUCAAGUCCAGGGUUGCCUCACUGCCAGUAAUUCCUUUUAAACUAGUUGCAGUAUGCACUCGCAGUGCUGAAGAAUAAUAUCCACUUAACAUGCUGUCUGUUAGAGAAAUGUGUGCCCUGCUUUUGAAGAUGUGAUGAUGUGCUGCUUUGUCUCAGGUGCAGAGCUCCGUGCAGUGCAGCCUGAGGAGAUGCUCUAAAACCUCACCUUGGCUGCACUGAAAAGUGUGGCAAGAGAUGCAGAAUAAUGCCUGACACCUCGAAUGGCAUGCAUCGGGGCUAUUACAUGAUGAAUGGCUGUGUCUUGGGAAUUGGAAGUCAUGGGUGAUAGCUUUAUGGGAGCAGACAAGACUUCUGGAUGUAUAAAGAAAGAAGGACAUAACUCUGAAUUUAUACAAGCCGUAUUUAUUGUAAAACCCUAAUGAAGGUUAAUGCUUUGACCCCAAGGAAGGUGGUGUGCAUUUGCAAUGAAGCUCUGGGAUGCCUCACUUGAUGGCACACAGAAGCUUGGCAAAUUUGGACUGGGAGAUGGACAUUGUUAUAUGCCAGUGAGCAGCCUGGCUGCUGCCAUCACAGCGCUGGGACCUUGCGGAGUUCCCUGUGAAGGCUGUAUUUGUUUUCUCUUAUGACUUUGGUGUUGAUGAUGAACAAUGGCAUUCUACCAAGUGUGGCAGAUACCACCUGUGGAUGAGCUGCGUUUUGAAGAGGAAAACCCUCCCAAGCGUUGCUCUGGUCUGCAGUGAAGUUUCACUGAUCUGGAACUUCAGGUGCUUCGUCCCCUGGUUUGCUGAUUUGCUGCUACUUGCUGUUUCUGAUUUUCUUUCUACAACAAUGUAUUGGGAACACAGUAUAUGGCUUCUUGAAGAAGGGACAUUCACAGAAGAAGCCACAAGGAAAAUCCCAUCGUGAGCCCCAAAGACACCUUCAUCUCUGCGUCUAUGCAGCUCUAGCCUGUGGCUGCUCUGUGGCUGUCCUGAGCAUGCGAUGCUGGUGAGGUAUUUGAGCACGCACUUGUGCAAUGCCUCUAGUUCCUCCCUGCGUGCCUCCACACAGGCUGUGCUGUGAGUUUUACUUUUCUUGUUUAUUUUGGUUGUACCUGUAUGUUCUCCUGCAGAUUCAAAGCUCCGAAGAAGCUGCACCGACCGCCUGUCUUGGCAUGACUGUCUGCUGCUGAAUUUGCUGGAGAAAUUAGAACUUGUCUUGCAGAAGAUGGACUCACUGGUUUUAUUAAUAUUGCAAAAUAGCUAGCUUUGACAAGCAGCCAAGAGUGGAGCUAGUCCCUUUCCCAGCCACAGGUUGUCUCAUAGUGAACCCUUCUUUCACUUGGCAGUGCACUGCAAAUGUGAGAACCAUGCCUCCUCCUGCCAUAGCUCUCACGUUACCCUCAUCUCCACCACGCUGUCCAACUCAGCUUAGCUGAGCGCGGAAGCUGCCUCCUCACCCAAGUAAGCACUGCUUACCCAGGUGUGCCUGGCUGGAUGAGGGAGGGGGACGCCCAACAUCCUGAUGGCAGACAGAUCCCACAGCAAACUGUGUCUGUCAUAGGAGGUGCGAAGAGCCACUUAUGUUGGCCAGAUGUCUCACGGUUGGUUGAGAUGACCCUUCCCCUCUCUCUGAAGGGACACAACUUGGCUUUUCUACAGCUCCAGGUAGAGGAAAAGCACCACUGGCUGCAAGAACUGGGUCCCGCAGCACUUGGCUCUCCAGCAGCAGCUCCAUACAGUCAUCACACGGAGAGUCGGGGAAAGCAGGACCUGUCUGGAUAAUAAGCCAUCAUUUCGUCCCAUGCUUAAAAGAAGCUCUCUGUGCUUUGAACAGGCCAAAUAACAUUUUCCCCCAUAAUUUUUUAACUUUGGGCACCUUUGCAAAUUACUCUCCUGGCUGGGAAGGAGCUCAGGAGUGCCAGAACACCAUGGGAAGAGGCUGCUCUGUGAUACUGCCAACCUGCGAAGGAGGAGGAAAUGCUGGAAAUCCCCUAAGCACGCCUGUUUUCUUGAGAUUCCCAACUCGAUUUUGCAAACUCAGAAGAUUUUAUAUAAUUUGGUUUAGUCGGUUCAGAGGUCUAAGGCACUUGGCUGUGCAUCUGGAUUGCAUCUUUGGGGUGGGUUAUCCAAAAAAGUACUCAGAACAGUAUGAAAUUCAUCCUUCGCUAGCAAAGCUGAAGGAAAACAAGAGCACGGGAAGGGAGUUUCUUCUCUCUGCUUGCUGUGCUGGACGCUGGGUGUGAACCUGUGAUCCGUGCCUCUGCCACCAGAUGCUGUGCCUUGUGCCAGCAGAGGAGACAUCAGCCCGCUGACCACCUGUCUUCAGAGCAAGAAAAAAAGGAAAAGAGAGAGAAUUUGAAAAUAAAUCUCUCAUCUGAUGUGCAAGUGCAGCAAGCACAGUGAUGACACACAAGCUACAGGGCUUUAUUCAGGCUUCCCUGUCUGAUAAUGUGGGCCUUAAAAACCCCUGACAUGAAAUGAUUCAGGUUGAAAAGUGCAAGUCAAUCCAAAACAGAAACAAAGAAACUUAGUGUUAACGGCCCUUUCAUUUUAUCACCAUAGAAAAGGGUUGCGUAUUGAUGCGACAGUGCCCACGGAAGCCCAGAGCCCAUCUGCAGGUGGUGCUAACCCAGAGCUGUCCCACAGCAUUGGCAGCCACCAGCACCUCGCGGGCUGGGCUGGGCUGGGCUCUGCCUGCAGGCGGCUGCGUUCGGCGGUGGGUGAAACGAGUCCUCUGUUUUGAUGGGCCAACUCUUCCCUUUAGAUGUCUGUGCUCACCUCCCAUUAACUUUGGUAUGAGCUGAGCUCAUGCUUCCAAGAGCGAAAUUUGGCUUAUAAUUUCUGCAUGCUUCGGGAUCCUUUGGGUACCAUAUAAAUGUAACAUGCUGUGAUUCAGUGCUAAAGAGCAGAGAAAAUUCAACCCCCCAGGAGAUACAGUGAGAGAAAAUCAUAUAGAACCUUUGUUUAAAAUAAUAAUGAAAAGAAAAAAGAAAGAUCAAGAAAAACAAUUGAGAUUCAUUCCAAAGCUGAGUUCAUUGCACAGCGAGGACAGAACGCACAUCCCUUAUCCAGCGAUAGCUUCUUUGACAUGGAUGAGUUAGGGCCCAUUGGACCAGGCCCCAGUUUUGAAGGCAUUAUUGAAAAUGUCUUACCUCCUAUAUUUCCUGUUUUUUAAUCAAACUCACUGUGCUGCCAGAGGUGUUUCAUUUACCAGGAGAGGGGUCAGCGAGGCAGCCACGAGCAACAGGAAAUAAAGCACCGUGCGGCCCCUCCCUGCCUGGACGCGGGCUGGGGCCAGCAGUGCUGAGCUCGGUGCUGUCUGCCUGUACCAUGGCAUCCUACAGCCAACGUGGGCACUGGGGGUCUGCCUGCUGGCUCUGCCAUGCAGCCCUGCGCCAACAGCGAACGGUGCAUACAUCCUCGAAUUUUAUUUUCUAUCUACUGCCGUAGUUUCUUGGCUUGUUGCAACUGUCAUAAAAUUACUUUAUUAUAUUUUCCCAUCUGUUAUGUUUUUGCUUCUUUAGAGGGGGAUGUUGCGUGAUGCUUAUAGUCUAAUUUAGCUUUAAACUUGUAUGGCUGUUGUUUAUGGAAAACGAACGUUGCAUUUGCAGAAUAACCUGUGGCUUUCCUGUAGAACCAAGGAGAAUGUCUGCAGGCAGCAAACAUGGAUGCAACCAGAUGGACAGGACUGCUCAUUGCCUCCUGCCCCAACUCCUCUGCUUUGAGUUGUGGCCUUGGCCAUGGCCAGUGGAGUUCUAAUUACUCAUUAAUUUAGCUAUCCUCCUGCAUUGCCCAGCUAAGGGCUCUCCAUCACCACUUUCACCACUGUUGAAGCCAUUCAUUCAGUCUUAGCUUGAACAACCUAAGUCUUAGAAUAAUUUGUUCUUUAACAAAAAGCGCAGAGAACAGAGCGCUGCUCUGCCCACCUGGCUUGUUUUCCGCUCUCCUCUUUGCCUCCAGUCUGACUGCUGGUUCUCAUGGUCUGCCUGAGCUGGAGAGUAAUCCCAUCCACUCCCCUGCUCACAUUGUUGGUUUUUUUUCCUGUAAUUUGUACUGCUAGUGUAUAUUAAAGAUUUUGUUCUGUUAAACUGUUGAGACUGUUAGAUGAAAUCCAGCAUUUAAUCUGGGAGUUUGGCGAUACCAAAGGAUUUCUGAACACACAAAAUCCUGCUCUAAGAAGAAAAAAGUGAAGUUUGAGAAUCCUAUUUAUGUACCUCCACUGAGUCUCUCCUUCCUGCCCUGAGUGUAUUACACUGUGCUUCUCAAACACAAUUUUAUCUCCAGGAGAGGAAGCAAUAACUGUUCUUAUCAGUGGACCAGAACCUACAUCAUGCACAUGGCAUGAGGCAAAGAAAUCCCAUGCACCUGCAACUGGCCACGACUUUGGCACAAACAGAAGCAGAGAGAGCACACGUGUAAGGAGCUGAGUCAAGGACUUUGAGCAACGAUGUGACUGCUGUCUAUCAGGAUCUUGUGAAUAACAAGGCAGCUGGGGUGUGACUUCAAAAUAUAACUGUGACAUUUGUGGACAUCAUAGGCAAUUAGUUGUUUUUCGAUUGCGGUUGUCUAACUGGAAAGUAUGGGUGAAGUUUCAGCCUCUACAACGGUCCAACUGUUUGACAUCAACAGUUUCGAAAAAGGGACUUUUACUGUAUAAAAUGAUUAUUCCUAUCUGUAGAUUGUAGUAAAAGAAAAAUCCAAGGCACGAUGUGAAACUGAUGCCUGAGUAGAGCUGUGCAAGAUCGCUUCGGUGGCAGCUCUCUUGGCUUCCACCUCUGUGCCAUCAGUGCUGCACUUCUUGUGGAUGCUGUCCUUCAGGAUUAAGAAGGAAUAAAGAGAAUCAGACACAGAAUCACUGCCUGUGCUGGAAUUCAGCUGGUGAAGACCUCAAAAUGAACUGGCAAGGAGGUUGCAUUUGAACUCUGCAGCCCCUAUGUUCAAUUCUUUAUUAACUUUUUCAAUAUGUUCUAUUACGGUCACAAUAUGGGAGCUAUCUUGCAGCUAAUUUAACACCUGUAAAUUCCCAUGGCUGGUAAUGAAACAUUGCAUAGACUAGUGGAUGAAGCAUUUGCUUCAUAUAUCUAAGGUCAUUAGUUCAGUACUCGUUAAUGCUGUAGCUUUUAUUAAAAUUUCUUUUAGUUUUGGUUUUCUUUUUGCAUCAGCCCCUUACAGGCUGAUUAAUUCUUCUCCUUCCCAAAGCUAAACACAAAACAUGAGCAUCUGACCCAGAGCACUGGGGCUAAACUCUGCACUGAAGUCUUGAAUUAUGCUGCCUGAGGUUAUCCUUUCAAAGCCUCCCCGGCUGCCAUGAGGGUGACAGUGUGACACCAGGGGACACGUCAUCGUGGCCAGGUCAUGGUGACACAAGUGACACUGCUGUUGGCACGUUCCGUUCCCUCUGCCCAGCCUGCGCUGUGUCAUCACUGCUGCGGCUGAGAAAAGCAGAGGCAGUGAGCUCCGGCCCUGCAGCUGGUGUUGCUGGAUGUUUUCUAUCCAACCUGACCCUUUCUCAACCCUGACAUGGGUUGGGUCCACCACAGUAGCCAACUUUUCAAAACACAACCAGCACAAAGCAACAUUAUCAUGAAAGUAAGCGGCUUCUGGAGAUGAAAUCACAUGAGCCGUGCAUCCAAAUGCGAUGCUGCAGCUUCUGGGAAACGCUGAGCGUGCGCUUCUUCACCUUGCAAGCUCUUGGCAUGCGUGCUGUUUAUCAAAAUAACAGCUCAUUGAAAUACAGCCCAAAGGACUGCCAGGAAGGUUGAAUGAAGCACUGUUGUUUCCAGCACACCACGGUCUCCAUUGGUUUCUCCAGAGGAGGGAAGUGCGUGGGCUCCAGGAACGCACCCCAUGCCCAAAGCCCACCUGGUUCUGCCUGCACGUGGAGCUGCCAUGGGACUGCGCCUCGGCCAGAUCUGGACAUUGCUUUGUUAGCAAAGUGCCACCUGCCAGGAGUCUGCCCCUGGGGCAUCAUUCUGGUCAUCCACAGGGAAAAGAAAUGCUGGAUGUACUCCUGACACCAUUAAAUUGAUCUGUAAACAAGCUAUGCUUUUUAUUAACAACUUCAUGCUGCAGAAUGUUAUAAGAUAUGUGCUUCUUUGUAAGAAACGCAUGCUGUUUUAUAUUCAUAUCCGUGCCUGCCUUAUAGCUGGCUUUGUGACGCUACUCAUUAAUUCAGGAUUGAAAUGUCUUUCUCACUCUGUGACAUUUAGGUGCCUGAUAUUUUUUACAAAGCUUAUUAAAACUCAGAUUUGU